rnacentral:rRNA from 1 species
AGUGAACGCUGGCGGCAGGCCUAACACAUGCAAGUCGAACGGCAGCACAGCAGUAGCAAUACUGUGGGUGGCGAGUGGCGGACGGGUGAGGAAUACAUCGGAAUCUGCCUAGUCGUGGGGGAUAACGUAGCGAAAGUUACGCUAAUACCGCAUACGAACUAAGGUUGAAAGUGGGGGAUCGCAAGACCUCAUGCUCAUGGAGUGGCCGAUAUCUGAUUAGCUAGUUGGUGAGGUAAAGGCUCACCAAGGCGACGAUCAGUAGCUGGUCUGAGAGGACGACCAGCCACACUGGAACUGAGACACGGUCCAGACUCCUACGGGAGGCAGCAGUGGGGGAAUUUUGGGACAAUGGGGGCAACCCUGAUCCAGCAAUGCCGCGUGAGUGAAGAAGGCCUCGGGUUGUAAGACUCUUUUGUUCUAGGGAAGAAACGGUUAGUUGGGCUAAUAUCCAUGGCUAA